GCGGAAGUAGCUCAGUGGUAGAACACCACCUUGCCAAGGUGGGGGUCGCGGGUUCGAAUCCCGUCUUCCGCUCCA
rnacentral:tRNA from 1 species